UUGGUUUAGGAUUUAGGAUUUGGAUUAGGAUUUGAUUUAGGAUUUAGAAUUUAGGAUUUGGAUUAGGAUUUGAUUUAGGGUUUAGAAUUUAGGAUUUGGAUUAGGAUUUGGUUAGGAAUUAAGGUUUGAUUAGGAUUUGGUUUAGGAUUUAGGGUUUUUCUAAGGUUUGAUUAAGGUUGGAUUAGGAUUAGGAUUUGGUUAGAAUUUAAGGUUCUAUUAGAUUUUUGUUAGGGUUUGAUUAAGUUUUUUUUAAUAUUCUUUUAUAUUUCUUUAGGAUUUCCUUGUGUUUCUUUUAUAACUUCAAUAAAAUUUAAUUGAGCUUGCUUAAUAUUUGAUUAUGAUUAUUAACGUUUAAUUGUAAAUUUUCUAUAAUCCUAUUGGAUUGUUAGGACCUUUUGUUGCAAUUUUCUUUUACCUUCCACAGCCAGGUGCUCGGUGCAUUCUCAAGCAAGACUUCACGUAAUACGACAACGUAUAAUAAUCAUGUCUCAUAGAACCUGUUUCUAAAAAGGAGGAUAAUAUCACAAAUAUACAUGCUUAUUCUAAUAAUUAUCUAUAUGAUUAAAGAGAAAUAAAA
rnacentral:lncRNA from 1 species